rnacentral:sRNA from 1 species
AGUAGUGUAAAGGAAACGAAACCCCGUAUUUCAGAGCCAGGAGCCUGGGUUCACAUUCUGUCUCCUGCAAGAGGUGGUUUAGCAAGGUCAGAAGGCCCUGUCCACUCGGUAGCAGCCAGGCUUGGGUGAAAUCACUUUCUUUGAGCCUCAGCUUCCUCACCAGUUAAAUGGGGAUGACAAAGAUUUGUCCCACGAUUUUUGUAAAGAACAAAAAGAUACGUUUGCAGAAAAACACUCUAGAUAGUACGUAAGCGACAGUUCCUCGGUUUGUCCUUCCAUGGAUGCAUGGAGCAUCUAGCCAACUCAGCAGAUGACCCCUCUCCAGUGUUUCAGCAUCUGCUUCUCCCACAAGCCCGUGAGCUGGUGCAGGAAAUUCUCCAACAGGUUCUGAACAGAAAAGCAUAGUGCCUGGCACCUAGUGGGUGCUGCAUAAAUGAACAAAUGACCCCAGGUUCUGCCGGAGACUUCCAUUUGGCCUCAAUGUGAAAUUAAAGUAGAAAAUCACAUCUACAUGUAUGUUGCUAUCAGGAUGUUGAUUCAUUAGUCAUGCCUGAAGAGGG